rnacentral:rRNA from 1 species
ACUCUCGGCAACGGAUAUCUCGGCUCUCGCAUCGAUGAAGAACGUAGCGAAAUGCGAUACUUGGUGUGAAUUGCAGAAUCCCGUGAACCAUCGAGUCUUUGAACGCAAGUUGCGCCUGAGGCCAUUAGGCUAAGGGCACGUCUGCCUGGGCGUCACGCAUCGCG